rnacentral:rRNA from 1 species
AACUCGUCGGAUCGCACGACCCUUGUGCCGGCGACGCAUCAUUCAAAUUUCUGCCCGAUCAACUUUCGAUGGUAGGAUAGUGGCCUACCAUGGUGGUGACGGGUGACGGAGAAUUAGGGUUCAAUUCCGGAGAGGGAGCCUGAGAAACGGCUACCACAUCCAAGGAAGGCAGCAGACGUGCAAAUUACCCAAUCCUGACACGGGGAGGUAGUGACCAUAAAUAACAAUAUCGGGCUCAUUGAGUCCGGUAAUUGGAAUGAGUACAAUCUAAAUCCCUUAAUGACGAUCCAUUAGAGGGCAAGUCUGGUGCCAGCAGCCGCGGUAAUUCCAGCUCCAAUAGCGUAUAUUUAAGUUGUUGCAGUUAAAAAGCUCGUAGUUGGACCUUGGGUCGGGUCGAUCGGUUCGCCUCUGGUGUGCACCGGUCUGGUCGUCCCUUCUGCCGGCAAUGUGCUCCUGGCCUUAACUGGCCGGGUCGUGCCUCCGGUGCCGUUACUUUGAAGAAAUUAGAGUGCCCAAAGCAAGCCUACGCUCUGCAUACAUUAGCAAGGGAUAACACCACAGGAUUCUGAUCCUAUUGUGUUGGCCUUCAGGAUCGGAGUAAUGAUUAACAGGGACAGUCAGGGGCAUUCGUAUUUCAUAGUCAGAGGUGAAGUUCUUGGAUUUAUGAAAAACGAACAACUGCGAAAACAUUUGCCAAGGAUGUUUUCAUUAAUCAAGAACGAAAGUUGGGGGCUCGAAGACGAUCAGAUACCGUCCUAGUCUCAACCAUAAACGAUGCCGACCAGGGAUCAACGGAUUUUUCUUUUAGGACUUCGUUGGCACCUUAUGAGAAAUCAAAGUCUUUGGGUUCCGGGGGGAGUAUGGUUGCAAGGCUGAAACUUAAAGGAAUUGACGGAAGGGCACCACCAGGAAUGGAGCCUGCGGCUUAAUUCAAAUUUCAUAGUCCUGUGAAGUGUUCGGAUUGCGGCGACAUGGGCGGUUCGCUGCCCGCGACGUGGUGAGAAGUCCAUUGAACCUUAUCAUUUAGAGGAAGGAGAAGUCGUCACAAAGUUUCCAUAGGUGAACCUGCGGAAGGAUCAUUCUCGAUGCCUCAAACAAUUCCACCCGUGAAUAUGUACCAAACACACAACAACGCGCAAGGCCAGCGGGGGCACGCAAGUGCUCCCACUACCAGGUGCGUUGUUGAGAGCGGGGGUUGGUGUCUUGAUGCCUUGUGCAUCCGGUCGCAAACCCGUGCCUCUCGA